UUUGCGUGAUUUUUGAAUGAACCAAUUCUA
rnacentral:piRNA from 1 species